ACUCAAAUGAAUUGACGGGGGCCCGCACAAGCAGUGGAGUAUGUGGUUUAAUUCGAAGCAACGCGAAGAACCUUACCAGGACUUGACAUCCUACUAACGAAGUAGAGAUACAUUAGGUGCCCUUCGGGGAAAGUAGAGACAGGUGGUGCAUGGUUGUCGUCAGCUCGUGUCGUGAGAUGUUGGGUUAAGUCCCGCAACGAGCGCAACCCUUAUGGCUAGUUGCUACGCAAGAGCACUCUAGCCAGACUGCCGUUGACAAAACGGAGGAAGGUGGGGACGACGUCAAAUCAUCAUGCCCCUUAUGUCCUGGGCUACACACGUACUACAAUGGUGGUCAUACAACGGGAAGCUACACAGUAAUGUGAUGCAAAUCCCUUAAAAGCCAUCUCAGUUCAGAUUGUGGGCUGCAACUCGCCCACAUGAAGUCGGAAUUGCUAGUAAUCGCGGAUCAGCAUGCCGCGGUGAAUACGUUCCCGGGCCUUGUACACACCGCCCGU
rnacentral:rRNA from 1 species